rnacentral:lncRNA from 1 species
AGAUAAAAUUAUAUUAAGUUGAAUAUGGGUAAAACCUCUAAUGUGCUUGUUUUAGGAGGGUGUGGAUUCAUAGGACGUCACCUGGUCACAUAUCUUAUUAAAAAUAAUCUAGCAGAAAAGAUUCGAGUGGCUGAUAAAUCUCCACCUCAGCUAUCUUGGUUUAAUGCAGAACAUAAGG